UCUUGAUUGUGUUGUUUUUCCUAGAUUUUUGUUUCAUCGUCUUCGUUCCAACUCGUUGUUCUCGAAUUUACCAAGUUCAAUGGGAUUUGCUGAUACGGGUUUUCUUGAUCUAGUGCUUCUGAACCCGCUUGACUUGGUUUAUUGAUAUGGGUGGUGAUUGGAGACUUCAAUGACAUUCGAUGAGAUUCCUACUACCGUUGUUUCCUGUUUUGUUGUUUGAUCUUCAUAUAACAAAGGACCUUUAGGUUUUUAUCGCCAUUAGCGGAUGGAUGCUCGAGC
rnacentral:lncRNA from 1 species